GAUGAACGCUAGCUACAGGCUUAACACAUGCAAGUCGAGGGGCAUCAGGAAGAAAGCUUGCUUUCUUUGCUGGCGACCGGCGCACGGGUGCGUAACGCGUAUGUAACCUGCCUGUCAGAAGGGAAUAACCCGGUGAAAGUCGGACUAAUACCCUAUAUGCUCACGAGAGGCACCUGCCUUGGUGAGGAAAGAUUUAUCACUGACAGAUGGACAUGCGUCCCAUUAGCUUGUUGGUAGGGUAACGGCCUACCAAGGCAACGAUGGGUAGGGGAACUGAGAGGUUUAUCCCCCACAUUGGUACUGAGACACGGACCAA
rnacentral:rRNA from 1 species